rnacentral:rRNA from 1 species
AUUGAACGCUGGCGGCAGGCCUAACACAUGCAAGUCGAACGGUAACAGAAAGCAGCUUGCUGCUUUGCUGACGAGUGGCGGACGUGUGAGUAAUGUCUGGGAAACUGCCUGAUGGAGGGGGAUAACUACUGGAAACGGUAGCUAAUACCGCAUAACGUCGCAAGCCCAAAGAGGGGGACCUUCGGGCCUCUUGCCAUCGGAUGUGCCCAGAUGGGAUUAGCUAGUAGGUGGGGUAACGGCUCACCUAGGCGACGAUCCCUAGCUGGUCUGAGAGGAUGACCAGCCACACUGGAACUGAGACACGGUCCAGACUCCUACGGGAGGCAGCAGUGGGGAAUAUUGCACAAUGGGCGCAAGCCUGAUGCAGCAAUGCCGCGUGUAUGAAGAAGGCCUUCGGGUUGUAAAGUACUGUCAGCGGGGAGGAAGGGAGUAAAGUUAAUACCUUUGCUCAUUGACGUUACCCGCAGAAGAAGCACCGGCUAACUCCGUG